rnacentral:sRNA from 1 species
GAGAGACGGGUGAAUUAUGAGUGUGUGCUGUCAUUUUGUGGAUUAACUACUCGUCUUGGGCUGUCCAGACCAGAAGAAAAAAUUUAUUUUCACAGUGAUGAUUCAUGUAGUACCUGAGACUGAAAUAUUAAGAUAACUUUCUAGUCUGUGCUACAAAAUGCAGUUUUUGUUAGGGAGAUACAUAGAUCUAGAGGUUUUGUGUGUGAAGCUGUGUGGAAAUGUGAAAUACUACCAGUCACACCAUUAUAGUACCGUGGUGCCACCUGAUGAAAUAACAGUUAAUUAUAGACAUGGCCUUCCCUUGGUAACACUUACCUUGCCAUCUAGAAAAGAACGUUGUCAAUUUGUAGUCAAACCAAUGUUGUCAACAGUUGGUUCAUUCCUUCAGGACCUACAAAAUGAAGAUAAGGGUAUCAAAACUGCAGCCAUCUUCACAGCAGAUGGCAACACGAUUUCAGCUUCUACCUUGAUGGAUAUUUUGCUAAUGAAUGAUUUUAAACUUGUCAUUAAUAAAAUAGCAUAUGAUGUGCAGUGUCCAAAGAGAGAGAGUGUUACCGGGGGUCCUUGCUCCCAGAACUCC